rnacentral:rRNA from 1 species
GCCCGGUCAGGUAUGCUGGACUGGUUAGAAAAGAAAAUGUAGGCAUAAGUAACGAUAAUGCGGGCGAGAAACCCGCACACCGAAAAACUAAGGUUUCCACAGCUAUGCUAAUCAGCUGUGGGUUAGUCUGGUCCUAAGGCGAACCCGAAAGGGACAGUCGAUGGCUAACGGGUUAAUAUUCCCGUACUACUAAUUACUGUGAUGGGGUGACGGAGUGAUGAAAGCGCCGCGAACUGACGGAAUAGUUCGUUGAAGUACCUACCUAUAGGAUCUGCAGGCAAAUCCACAGAUCUUGGGAAAAUACGAUAGUACUCGGAGUCUUCGGACAAAGAGAUAGUGCGCCUAAGGGCUUCCAAGAAAAACCUCUAAACUUCAGGUAAUUAGUACCAGUACCGUAAACCGACACAGGUAGUUGAGGUGAGAAUCCUAAGGUGCUCGAGAGAUUCAUGGCUAAGGAAUUAGGCAAAAUAGACCUGUAACUUCGGGAGAAAGGUCGCCAGCGCAAGCUGGCCGCAGUGAAGAGGUCCAGGCGACUGUUUAUCAAAAACACAGGGCUCUGCAAAAUCGUAAGAUGAAGUAUAGGGCCUGACACCUGCCCGGUGCUGGAAGGUUAAGAGGAGAUGUUAUCUUCGGAGAAGCAUUGAAUUGAAGCCCCAGUAAACGGCGGCCGUAACAAUAACGGUCCUAAGGUAGCGAAAUUCCUUGUCGGGUAAGUUCCGACCUGCACGAAUGGUGUAACGAUCUGGACACUGUCUCAGCCAUGAGCUCGGUGAAAUUGUAGUAACGGUGAAGAUGCCGUUUACCCGCAGUGGGACGAAAAGACCCUGUGCACCUUUACUAUAGCUUAGUAUUGACCUUGGAUAAAUGAUGUGUAGGAUAGGUUGGAGACUGUGAAGUGGCGUCGCCAGGCGUUGUGGAGUCAUUGUUGAAAUACAACCCUUUGUUUAUCUGAGGCCUAACCCCGUUUUGCGGGGGACAUUGCUUGGUGGGUAGUUUGACUGGGGUGGUCGCCUCCAAAAGAGUAACGGAGGCUUCUAAAGGUUCCCUCAGUACGCUUGGUAACCGUGCGUAGAGUGCAAUGGCAUAAGGGAGCUUGACUGAGAGACAUACAGGUCGAUCAGGUACGAAAGUAGAGCAUAGUGAUCCGGUGGUUCCGCAUGGAAGGGCCAUCGCUCAAAGGAUAAAAGGUACGCCGGGGAUAACAGGCUGAUCUCCCCCAAGAGCUCAUAUCGACGGGGGGGUUUGGCACCUCGAUGUCGGCUCGUCACAUCCUGGGGCUGGAGAAGGUCCCAAGGGUUGGGCUGUUCGCCCAUUAAAGUGGCACGCGAGCUGGGUUCAGAACGUCGUGAGACAGUUCGGUCUCUAUCUACUGUGGGCGUUAGAAAUUUGAGUGGAUCUGAUUCUAGUACGAGAGGACCGAAUUGGACAAACCUCUAGUGUAUCUGUUGUCCCGCCAGGGGCACCGCAGAGUAGCUACGUUUGGAAGGGAUAAGCGCUGAAAGCAUAUAAGCGCGAAACCCACCACAAGAUGAGAUUUCUUUUAAGGAUCGUGGAAGAUGACCACGUUGAUAGGCUAUAGAUGUAAAGGCAGUAAUGUCAUAGUCGAGUAGUACUAAUAAUCCU